GCCCGCGUAGCUCAGUUGGCCAGAGCAGCGCUCUUGUAAAGCGAAGGUCGUCAGUUCGAAUCUGACCGUGGGCU
rnacentral:tRNA from 3 species